UACGAAGGGUGCAAACGUUGCUCGGAAUUACUGGGCGUAAAGCGCGCGUAGGCGGAUCUGCAAGUCGGGGGUGAAAUCCCGAGGCUCAACCUCGGAACUGCCUUCGAUACUGCGGGUCUCGAGUCCGGGAGAGGUGAGUGGAAUUCCUAGUGUAGAGGUGAAAUUCGUAGAUAUUAGGAAGAACACCAGUGGCGAAGGCGGCUCACUGGCCCGGUACUGACGCUGAGGCGCGAAAGCGUGGGGAGCAAACAGG
rnacentral:rRNA from 1 species